ensembl:scaRNA
GGCCUCUUACUUGCUCCUUGGGCUGCUGAAGGUCCCUUUGCUCCUCAACGAGGGUGGGAGGCCAAGAUCAGCCUCGGAGGAGCGUUGUCAGUGUUGCCACAAGUGGGCAGUCUUAGUUUCCUGCGUCGGACAUGC